rnacentral:rRNA from 1 species
CAGCAGCCGCGGGAAUACAGAGGGUGCGAGCGUUAAUCGGAUUUACUGGGCGUAAAGCGUGCGCAGGCGGUUUGUUAAGACAGAUGUGAAAUCCCCGGGCUUAACCUGGGAACUGCAUUUGUGACUGGCAAGCUAGAGUAUGGCAGAGGGGGGUGGAAUUCCGCGUGUAGCAGUGAAAUGCGUAGAUAUGCGGAGGAACACCGAUGGCGAAGGCAGCCCCCUGGGCCAAUACUGACGCUCAUGCACGAAAGCGUGGGGAGCAAACAGGAUUAGAUACCCGGGUAGUCCCUGUCUCUUAUAC